rnacentral:piRNA from 1 species
AUUAGGACAGUGACUCAGUGCAC